rnacentral:rRNA from 1 species
GAUGAACGCUGGCGGCGUGCCUAAUACAUGCAAGUCGAGCGAACAGACGAGGAGCUUGCUCCUCUGACGUUAGCGGCGGACGGGUGAGUAACACGUGUAUAACCUACCUAUAAGACUGGUAUAACUUCGGGAAACCGGAGCUAAUACCGGAUAAUAUAUUGAACCGCAUGGUUCAAUAGUGAAAGACGGUUUUGCUGUCACUUAUAGAUGGAUCCGCGCCGCAUUGGCUAGUUGGUAAGGUAACGGCUUAUCAAGGCAACGAUGCGUAGCCGACCUGAUAGGGUGAUAGGCGACACUGGAACUGGGACGCGGUCCAGACUCCUACGGGAGGCCGCAGUAGCGUAUGUGCCGCAAUGGGCGGGAGCAUGACGGAGCGACGCCGCGUGAGUGACGAAGGUCUUCGGAUCGUAAAACUCUGUUAUUAGUGAAGAACAAAUGUGUAAGUAACUAAGCACGUAUUGACGGUACCUAGUCAGAAAGCCACGGCUAACUACGUG